GCAUAUCAAUAAGCGGAGGAAAAGAAACUAACAAGGAUUCCCCUAGUAACUGCGAGUGAAGCGGGAAAAGCUCAAAUUUUGAAUCUGGCGGUCUUUGCAGAC
rnacentral:rRNA from 1 species